ACAUAAUUUAAAUCUUAUUAAACAAGUUUAGUAAAUUUUAAGUUGUCUGGUAACCUAGAAGGACACCUUGUUUAUGUACAUAUUAUUAAGAUAAUAUUUUGCAUUGGUCAUUAGAAGUUACACAGCAACAACGUGAUCAGUAUUGACGAGACACUACACAUUUUCAUUUUUAAAGCAUGUCCGGAUACAUUUCACUGUGCGGUUUUGAAUGGCAAGCAGUUGUAAGGUUCCAUAUUUUUAGUGGGGACAACCGGACUCACCUUCACGUGGCCAAUAUACAGCUCAAAAAGGGGAGGUUCUUUAAUUAUUUUUGUUGAAUUAGAGCUAACCAGAAGUAAGUGAUACCUAUUUCCUUCUUGGUUAAUGAAGAUGUAAACGAUACCAACUCAUGUAACACAACUGGCAUCCAGCGGUAAGGUAGGUAAUGACUCUAUCCAACAGUUUUGAUACUUGCUGUGGCUAGCACAGAUACCACCCGCACACCUGCGCAUGCGCGUUCUGUCCAAAACGAGGCCCAAAAGCUUUUCAGCUCUUCCUUUUAUGACUAAGUAUAUGUGUGUACCAAAUUUAGUUCCAAUCGGUUCAGUCGUUUAGCUGAGAGUACAGACCGACCGACCGGAUCUAGAUUUUGUGUGAUUCUAAUUCCUGGAGCUUCAAAACAUGGAUUUCGGUCAAGAAAAGUCAUUUUUAGGCCAUUGCAACACCUUCCUUACCAACGUGCGGGUGGUACAAAGAAAGUUUGUGCAAAUGGAACAAUAAGUGUGUCUUUAAGAUGGUACUAAACUUUUUAGUCCGAUAGCGUUGCUGGCGAAACUGGCCAAGUACGACAAAUCUGGAACGAUCCAGCCUUAAUUACAGUUUUACCAAACACAGGAAUUGCAACUUCCUCUUGGUCCAAACCAAACCUAGUGACCUUUGUACCUAAAAAAGUUGAAUAUAAUAAAUCUGAAACAGUUUUAGCUGUUGAGGUUGAUUUCCUCAAUCUGCAAAUUUUACCAAAAGAUUCCACAGAGACGAAUACUUAUGGCAAUCCCAGGGAAGAAACAAAAGAUGUCGCCCUCGAAAGUCCUGCAGUGAAGCUAUAAAUAGCGCUGUGGAAAAAUGUCACUUGCGUUAGGAGAUGGUACGGGAUAGAGAAGUCUGACUUAACAGUACAUAUUAUCGUUGAAUAAUUAAUCUUUUCUUCAAUGAUAUUAUAUAGAUAGUUCGAGGUACCCUACACUUUAAGUUGCAGAUCUUUGUAUGUAGCCUGUAGCAGGUGUUGUACAAUACAAAAUUGCAUCCGGCGAUUCAAAAGGAGGCAUUUACUUUGCGUUAACUGUACAGUGUGACCUAUUUUGGUCGAGACUUGUGACGAAGAAAACUAUGUAGAAGGAAAUAAGAAACCCAGCACUACGGCUCCAGCUGCUCUCGGUGGUAGGGGUGGUUCGACAAUCCUGAAAGAAAUACCUAUAAAUGCUCCGAAAAUUUAGGCGCCACUAAUUUUUCGAUAGUUCCAAGCCGUACAGGAAAAAAAUUAGAAACCUGCUCCUGUUGGUCUGGAAAUGCAGGGGUAAAACUAUAAAAAAGAAACAGAGAAAGAUAGCGGGAAAGAAAAGGGCGAAUGAUGAUGAUUGAUAAUGGCACGGAAUGAUAACAGGGAAGAAAAACGGCAAAAAAAGAAAACGGUACGAGAUCUCGUCUCACAGUAAAACAAUAAAAUCUGACUAAAUUACUUAUUAUGAUGUAGGGUGGCUGAAUUAAUGUGAUGGUUUUUUUUAAAAUAAACUUAACGGUUUUUUUUAAGGUAAAGAGAUAACUUGAACUUAGCUGUUCUGGCUCCUGAAGUUGUCCAGCAGUUGUUCAGCGGACUUGGCGGUGGUAGACCAGUGGCUAAAUACGGGGUAGAUUAAGGAUAGGGAUGCGGGUAGAAGGGAACAAGGAAAAAGAAAUUUUAGGGUAUCGAAAGAAGAUUGAAGACUGAAGACGACGACUGAAGACUGAAGACGGACGACUGAAGACUGGAGAUGGACGAAGACGAAGAUUUCUUAGUAGUAGAUAGGUACGUAUAACAAGUAUAGACAAGAAAUAACUAAAACUACAAGGCCGAGAUGGUGUGGGCCUUAACGUAGAGACAAUAUAUAGAUAUGUAGGCUCAAUUAAAUUGGUGGACGGUGAAAUAAAGCUCGGAUCACAAGGGUUGAAAUCCGGCGAGCAAGGGUAACAUAUAUAAUAUAUUGGUUGUAGAUAACUUCACAAACACAAAUGCGCUUCCUCUUCCACUCUUAAUCCCCAAAAUAGGGUUUCCAAGGAAGAAAUACCAAUUCCUGGUAAUGAGUGGAGACUAUAGGACGAGGGUAGAAAUCCCAAAAUUGUCGGAUGAAAGCGGCUGCAAAAAUUCCGCACCUCACAAGCACACCAUACAAUUGACAAUUGACCAAAAACGGAAACGAAACGUAGAAGAAUUUGAAAAAAACGAACAGUAAUACCAAUAAUUAAGGAACAUAAAAAGUCAGCGGGAAAAGAAGAAUAGAUUUUUGAAAAGAGCGGGAAAAUAGCGUGGUUUACAAGAACUGACAAUAGAUGACACUGAAAGCGGACCAGAGGCGUAACAUGGAAUAAAAUAGUACACAUAAGCUUCGAAAAUUAGAAUAGUGAAAACAGUAAGGAAAGAAAAAGCGUUUAAAGCGUGAAAAGGUAAAUACAAUUGUAAGAAGAGAGCAAGAAUCCAAAGAA